UUAUCUGAUUUAGGAUCAAUUUAUCGGUUACACUCCCCUAUCACCAGUGAUUCUUUGUGAACUGACAUUCUGAAAAAGGGCAAGAACAUUAAAGAUAAAGGGAAACUAUAAACAAAAGAAAUUAUCAACAAAAAUAGAUUUACAGACGUCAACAAAGCCUAAAUGGUCAGACAUCUUGGUUUUCAUGAUCAUCAUUCAACAGGUCAAUACUGAACAGCAAACUUAAAGUUGAUAUUUUUCUACAUAGUGUGACUUUUUUAUUAAUUUGAAAUGGAAUGUGUUUUUUUUCCUACAUAAGAGGAAAUUUCAACAUAAUGACUAUAAACAAAAAGGAGUCAUAUCAUCAUGAUCAUAGAUGCUCAAGAACUUAAUCAUGUAAAUGCAACAACGUAAUUAUCAAUUGAUAGAAGGGAGGAAUGAAAAAAUAUAUUAGUAUUUUGUUGUCCAAAUGAACUUGCUUUGUCCACUCAUUUAAAUCGCUCCAUCCAAUAAAGAUGUACGGAGGAAGAUUUUUGAAGAACAGAUUUCAUAAAUGUUUUGUCUUAGAAUUGUAGGAAUAUUCUAGUGGAUGAAAUAAUUUAUCUACUUGACUCUUAUAUAGUGGACUGAAUAAUUGUUCAUAGCAAACUGAAACAAGAAAACUAAAACUUAACAGGAAAAGUGUUUAUUUUAUAAAUUUACAAAUAUAAAUGUAAUAUUAUGAACACCACAA